rnacentral:rRNA from 1 species
UCUGCAGUCGAACGCUUUUUCUUUCACCGGAGCUUGCUCCACCGAAAGAAAAGGAGUGGCGAACGGGUGAGUAACACGUGGGUAACCUGCCCAUCAGAAGGGGAUAACACUUGGAAACAGGUGCUAAUACCGUAUAACAAUAGAAACCGCAUGGUUUCUAUUUGAAAGGCGCUUUUGCGUCACUGAUGGAUGGACCCGCGGUGCAUUAGCUAGUUGGUGAGGUAACGGCUCACCAAGGCAACGAUGCAUAGCCGACCUGAGAGGGUGAUCGGCCACAUUGGGACUGAGACACGGCCCAAACUCCUACGGGAGGCAGCAGUAGGGAAUCUUCGGCAAUGGACGAAAGUCUGACCGAGCAACGCCGCGUGAGUGAAGAAGGUUUUCGGAUCGUAAAACUCUGUUGUUAGAGAAGAACAAGGAUGAGAGUAAAAUGUUCAUCCCUUGACGGUAUCUAACCAGAAAGCCACGGCUAACUACGUGCCAGCAGCCGCGGUAAUACGUAGGUGGCAAGCGUUGUCCGGAUUUAUUGGGCGUAAAGCGAGCGCAGGCGGUUUCUUAAGUCUGAUGUGAAAGCCCCCGGCUCAACCGGGGAGGGUCAUUGGAAACUGGGAAACUUGAGUGCAGAAGAGGAGAG